rnacentral:rRNA from 1 species
UACGUAGGGCGCAAGCGUUAUCCGGAAUUAUUGGGCGUAAAGAGCUCGUAGGCGGUUUGUCGCGUCUGCCGUGAAAGUCCGGGGCUCAACUCCGGAUCUGCGGUGGGUACGGGCAGACUAGAGUGAUGUAGGGGAGACUGGAAUUCCUGGUGUAGCGGUGAAAUGCGCAGAUAUCAGGAGGAACACCAUGCGAAGGCAGGUCUCUGG